UUUUGUGACAGCCAAGUGUUCAUAGUGGCAUUGCUUUUUGAUCCUUUGGUGUCAGCUCUUCCUAUCAUUCCAAAGCAGAAUUAGGUAAGUGUUAGAUUGUUCACCCACUAAUAGGUGACAUGAGCUGGGUUUAGACAACAACAGGUAGGUA
rnacentral:ncRNA from 1 species